UGCAUCUGAGGCCAGUGAGGAUGAGAACCUCCGGGGGCAGGAGGUUCGACUCGAGCGAAGCGAGAGAACGUUGCGUCAGCAACGGCCCGCAGGGCGAGCCACGA
rnacentral:sRNA from 2 species